rnacentral:rRNA from 1 species
GUGGGGAAUAUUGCACAAUGGGGGAAACCCUGAUGCAGCGACGCCGCGUGAGUGAAGAAGUAUUUCGGUACGUAAAGCUCUAUCAGCAAGGAAGAAAAUGACGGUACUUGACUAAGAAGCCCCGGCUAACUACGUGCCAGCAGCCGCGGUAAUACGUAGGGGGCAAGCGUUAUCCGGAUUUACUGGGUGUAAAGGGAGCGUAGACGGUAUGGUAAGUCAGAUGUGAAAGCCCGGGGCUCAACCCCGGGACUGCAUUUGAAACUAUCAGACUAGAGUGCAGGAGAGGUAAGUGGAAUUCCUAGUGUAGCGGUGAAAUGCGUAGAUAUUAGGAGGAACACCAGUGGCGAAGGCGGCUUACUGGACUGUAACUGACGUUGAGGCUCGAAAGCGUGGGGAGCAAACAGGAUUAGAAACCCCUGUAGUCC